AUGAAGAGGAAGAGAGACGAGCCUGAGCUGGAGUACGGGGCCUCGUCCGGGGUGGAUGAGAGGUCCAACGAGAGCAGCGACAAGAUGCAGGGCCAGCUCCUAGCCGCUGCGCCCGGCGCCGAUGGGGGCAAUGCCAAGUUCGCGUGGUAUGGCGCUCCAUCGGUGGAUGUGGCCGCGGCGGCGGUGGAGCACGGGUUCGGCAGGAUGAACAACCGGGUCCUUUUCCAUCGCGCGCACGGCGACGACGUCCACCUCUCACCGCCUCGGUCUCCUUAUGCCAGCGCAAUGCUAGCAAAUGCAGAUGAGAACGGCGAGGCGCAUAUCAUGUUGUGCCGUGUUCUGUUGGGCCGGCCAGAGGCCAUCCCGGCCGGGUCCUCCAAGCUCCACCCCAGCAGUGACAAUUACGACAGUGCCAUCGACAACAUGCAGAACCCACAGUGGUAUGUUGUUUGGGGCAAGGACAUGAACAUGAGGAUCCUCCCAGAGUACGUCGUCAGCUUCAAGUGUCCCAACCUCCAUCAGAUGCAAGGAUCAUCGGGAGCGAACUCCACGCUAAAGAAGCCUUCGCCGGUGGCUCAUGACAUGUUUCCGACGCUUCUAGCAGAGAUCCAGUGGUUCAUGCCAUCUUCCAAGCUGCAGACAUUGCAGGGGACCUACAAUUGCUUCAAGCCAGCUGCAAUGAAGUCCUCCAUAGAGAAGGGUUUGCAGAAAAUGAUCUUGGCAUCCCAGAUAAGCAGGUCGGGGUCAAAGCCGGUGCCCGGGGGAUUUCAAUGGAUCACCAACACGAGAAACUGA
rnacentral:rRNA from 1 species